UGAAAGAAGCUACCAGUUUACUUGUGUACCAAGAUCAUUAUCUAAGGAACUGGUCUUAACCUCUUUUACAAAGCUGAACUGUGUUAUUAACACGUGGUGUUCCAGUCUGUGAUGAAAUACUUCAGUGUGGUUCAGUUAUAUAAUGAGUAUAUAUGAAUGGAUAUAAAGACCAUACUAUACAUACUAGAUGAAUCGGAGGCCCAGGAAUCACGGCGGUGACAGUGUAAACCGGGUCUGGAUAGCCUAGAAUUGAGCAAGUGCAGGGGAUGCCCACUGAGGAAUGAGGGGCGCCGGGGACACCGAAGCGCCCGGCCCUGCGCUCCCAGAGAGGGUGAGAGAGCUGGGAGGCUCCGGGGGACCGCAAGAGGUGAAGCCAGGUGAAGGAGGCCAAGGGUCCGGAGAGGGAGGCCUGGAGAAAGCUGCCGGCCACGGUCCUCCUUACCGUCCGAGUUGGCCUCUGGGUCGAAACGCUGGCCACAGCCGCGGUUGUAACACAAGAGCGCCAUUCCGUCUUCUCGGCGAAAUCCACACCACCCGGGACUAGAAGUGAAUCACCGCAGCAAUCACCAGCACUACUGUUCAGGCCGCAGCUAGCUUCCGGAAGCCGCCGGUACUGCUUCAGGAAUUUUCCCGAACGUUCCGGUUGCACAGGCGCAGAAGAGACCGGAAGACGGGCCAGCGUCGGGCGGUGGACAGAUUUCCUACCGGACUGCCACAGACAGAUGUGCAUCAGAGGAUCCUGAUGAUGGAAACUUACCACAUUGCCAAGAGAAGUGGCUGGGAUGAGCAAGAAGAUGGUCCUAGACAAAGUUAUGUUUCUGUUUCCAGGAUCUGUCUGCAAACUUGGUGGACGUUCCCAUGGUCCCCAGAGGACUCUCCACACAGCAGGCACCCUAGCGUGCUCGGGAUCUUAGGAUUACUGGUGAGUCGAAUGCAGCAUAUGUUCCAAAACCACCGUGAGGGGCCUGUGCCAGCAGGGGCAGGGACCCUGGAAACCCACCUGACCAGCGGCUCCGGUUCCUUCAGGUCGGCACCAGCCCCGGGCCACCUUAGGCGUGAACUCGGUGGAUUUUCCCAGGGUCUCCAGGGACUCUCCACGCUGCAGGUGCCCUAGCUCGCCCAGGAUCUUAGGUCACUGAUGAGUUUAAGGCAACAUCUGUUCCAAAACAACUGUGAGGGGCCUGUGAUAGCAGGAGCAAGGACACAGGAGCCCUGCUUGACCA